AGCAACUUAGUCAAUGGAGCAACUUUUGCUGAGUAGCCACUGAUGAACCGACGAUAAUAGUUAAUAAGGACAAGGAAGGAUCUCAACUCAGUUACCUUUAUAUGUGCCUCUCGCUCCUGGAUAACACGUACCUUAGCCUCGUCCAUGCGUAGCUCGCCAUUGCUAAUAACAUGGCCUAAGAAGUGCACCUUCAGUUGUGCAAACUCACAUUUAUCCCUCUUGAUGUAUAGCUCGUUCUCCCGCAAGACAUGGAAAACCUUCCUUAAGUGCCAAAUAUUCUCCUCUAAAGUGUUGUUGUAGAUGACUAUGUCGUUUAGGUAGACUACCACAAAUUGAUCAAGGUAGGGAUGCAAAAUCUUGUUCAUAAGGGUGCAAAAUGUGGCCGGUACAUUGGUUAAGCCAAAGGGCAUCACCAACCACUCAAAGGCUCCAUAUCUCGUCACACAUGUUGUCUUCGGCUCAUCCCCUUAUGCAAUGCGAUAUGCUUAAUAUGAAGCAAAGAAGAAUCAGGUGCCUCUCUCUGACAUCACUUCUUUUAUAUUUAAAAUAAAAGAAAAAGCAAGAUAGUUGGGCAACAACCCUUAUUUUGCCAACUGAGGCCGCGAGCUCCAAUGUUUUUUUUGUUGGGACCACCAGAUUGAAGUAAACCUCAUGCAUGCUUUGUCACCUCUGCACUAUCUCGAUUAAUCGCCUUUUGCGCAUGCAUAAAGAUGUCUCCUUGUUUUAUAUGUCACUCGAUGACUUGAGUAGGAGCUUUCCCUUUCUUUCCCGUCUGUGCUUUCAUGUUCUUCUUUGCCUUCUUUGAAUAAAAAAAGCCAGGAAUUAUAAAUAAUAUUGUAGAAUAAGAGGGGACCCCUUCCACCAGAUUACUUUACUGACUGUACUUCAUUCAAAAAGAGUAAAGGAACUGGUUUAACAAAAGGGCUCUCAAAAGUGAUCUGAUACCUUCUUCCCUUGGUCUGGGAGGUAGGUUAUGUAGGCGACAACUGUUCAUAGGUUGCUCGAUCAGGCCAAAUAACCGUCCUCAAUCUUUGGCACAUCUGGAUCGGGAUCGGCGGAAACUCACUCGAUCUGCGCGUCUACCGGGGCACCAUACUUACUUUUUGUACUCUCUAGUCACCACUCCUCCGAGUACGAUAAAGUGAAAGGAGACAAGACUAUGGGCCAUGCAGACUUGACGUCAUCCCCACCUUCCUCCAGUAUAUCACUGGCAGUCCUUCGUGAGUGCGGCACACACCUUUUUGUUUGUUUCGGAGCCGUUUGUUUGGGCGGGGCGUACUAAACCCAUUAUGUACCACACCACCGGGUGGCUUGCCUGAAUGCCGAAUCUUUCUCUGCCGUCAACUCGACGUCGUCGUCACCUGCAAGAUAAGGCCAAAAACUUGGUAGUAGCCCUUGCGAAGAUCCACCUUAGUAAAGUACUUAGCUUGCCCAAGUCUAUCGAACAAGUCAGCAAUGAGCGGGAUCGGGUACUUAUUCUUCACUAUGACCUUAUUAAGUGCUCGACAGUCUAUGCACAAGUGCAGCGAUCCAUCCUUCUUCUUCUGGAACAAUAUUGGUGAGCCGAAAUGUUCCUUUGAUAGGCAAAUGUGACUAGCAUCUAGUAGCUCUUUCAAUUGUUUCCUAAGAUCCUCUCGCUCGGGCGGUGCCAUACGAUAUGAGGCAAAUACGGGUGGCUUAGCCACUGCUCCAACUCAAUCUUGUGAUCCACCUCUCGCCUAAGUGGCAAAUGCUUAGGCAACUCCUCGGGUAUGACGUCUUUGUUUUCCUCAAGCAACUUCUCUAUGCAAGGCGGCAGUGUCUCUUGAAAACUCUUAUCUUCCUCCAGACUUGCGAUGGUUGCCACGAACGUCGACUCCCCCUUCUUGAUCCCCUUGAUAACCUGCAUAGCUGAGAGUUGUGCUUGGAUCUGUCCGUGUGGCAUAGUCACUAUAGGUACCAUGCAAGCUCAUUCUUGCUCCAUAUCCAAGAGAUGUUGGAGGUAGGGUUCAACCAAAGUAUGACAAUGUCUAAAGAACUCUUUCCCCAAUAUGAUGUCAAAGAUAUCCAUAGCGGUUACGGUAAAGUUUGUCAUACCUUUCCAAGUUCCCAAUUUGACACCAACUCCAUUAGCUACCCCACGAGCAUUCUGUACCUCGGCAUUCACAGUCUUAACCCGAGAGUUGGUUGGAGCAAGCUUCAAUUCUAGUCUCUUUACGGUAGCCUCAGUCACAAAAUUAUGAGUUGCUCCAGUAUCCACCAUUGCACGAGCAAGCUUGUUGUUGAUGGUGAGAUCCACGUACUGAUUUCCAUUCUCGGUAUAUUGGAUAGAUUGCUUCGUGACAGCACCGCAUAAUCCGAUCAUACCCCAACUGUGCAUUUCCCGAACCAUGGCACUGAGGCUCUUUAGGUCAGGACAAUGCCUGAAGCUGUGCGGCCCUCCGCAUAUGUAACAUCCCUUUUUCUCGGCAUGCGCCUUCUUCUCGGCGUAGCCCUGACGGCCACUCGACUUUUUGGAAUCUUGAGUAUUAUAGUAUUGUUGUUGUAUCUCCUUGCUUUUUCCACGGUCUCCCCCACAUUUGACAUUGUUAAACUUUGAUUCAGCCUCCACUAUGGCUUGGUCUAUAUUUGUGACUUGCCGGCGUUGCAACUCCUGCUUAGUCCAAUUUUGCAACUCGUCCAUGAAGUGGAACAACAAGUCAUCAUUGGUCAGGUUGGGGAUUUGAAGCAUAAGGGUAGUGAACUUCUUGACAUAGACAUGCAUGCUCCUUAUUUGCUUCAACUCCCUAAGCUUGCGCCUCGCCUCGUACAAGACAUUAUUUGGAAAGAACUGUCGCUUGAACUCCGCUUUGAAUUGAUCCCACGUGCUAGGAGUACAUAGACCUUUAUCCACGUCGGCCAUCUUCCUUCUCCACAAUAGCAUGGCAGUCUUUGAGAGGUACAACACUGCAGUGUUGAUCAUGGCCUCAUCAUCCCUCACUUUGUCAUGCUUGAAGUAGUUCUCCAAGUGCCAAAUGAAAUUUUCCACCUCUUGUGCAUCGCGAACACCUUUGAACACUGGGGGUUUGGGAGCCUCGAUCUUGGCCUCCCUCGUCACCGCAACAUUGAUGGCUGCCUCGGUCACGACAACACUAACAUGCUCCUCGAGUGACUCUAUCUUUGCCUUUAUAACAUCGAUAGUACUCAAAGCCUCCAUGAGUCUGCACUCUAAGGUAGUGAUGGUUUGCCUUAGUUACAUCUCGGCCUGUGUACGUCCUUUCAGGUCAUUUCACAUACUCUCAAUCUCUUCAAGAGUAUGCCUCUCGAGAAUGUUAAGGGUGCCUUCCACCUUCCCCAAGCGUUGGCCAAAGAUUUCCAUGACGUCUAUCUCCGCGUUCAACUUCAUCACCCACUCUUUACCGAGUGAGAUAUCCUCGGGCAGGACCUCCACUUCAUCCUCGCUCGCCUUAAUGGCAUAUGGUUAUUGGGAUGUAAGCCCUUCGUUUGACACAACCUUGGGUGGUACCUCCUGGCUCUUGUUGGUGGCAUUCCUCUUUUUGUUACGACCACUCUUGCCAGUAGCAUCUCAUAUGACGUUCUUGGGUGUUGGCGGCGUUAAUUUCUCCGCCGUUCGCCAUUCCCUUAGUUAUAACCUUUGCUGUGAUACCACGUUGUCACGUCCUUAGUCGUUAACUAAGUACACGUGCGACACUUGACAAUUUGCUCACGAUCUUGCACAACUUGCUCACGUUCUUGCUAUGCCAAAUCGGCCUUACUACACUCAAGAUCGCUAAGAGAGUGGUAGAAAGAACGCACGAGAAUUGUUAAAAGAAGCUUUGUAUUAGAGAAAACUUGAAUUGUUUGCUUGGUGAAUUACAAAUGGAUGCCUCCUUUAUAUACUAGUCUCCUAGGGGCUAGAGUGUAAAUAUUAAUUGUUACACAAGUCCUUAAUAUUUACAAGAUAAGGGCUUUCUCUAUAAUUUUCUACAAGGCUAGAAGAUUCCAAAAAUUUUCCUAGCAAAUCCAUAGGCAUAUAGGGUCUUCCAAAGGAAAUGUCCAUACUUCUCGAAAAUCUUCUCACAAAUACUAGCUUUUCUCCUAUACAAAUACUAGCUUUUCUCCUAUGUAAGCUUUCGCAUGGUAUUAAUAUAUGACAAAUGGUGCCUAUGUGGCAUGGUGACGUGGCAGGUCAUCACACAUAGCCCAUUAUUUUUUAUAAUAUUAUUUAAAUCAACUUUGGCCCCACCUUUUCUCUUUUCUAUUUUUUUUUCGAGCUAACUCCCCUUAUUUCCCCCACCCUCUUUUGUUUAUUCUGAUCAUUUUACCUUUAUAUAUUUUUUUCUGUUUAUUUCGCUUUUUAAUUAUUUUCAAAACUAACUCUUUCAUAACCAAAUUUAAAGAUGCAAUAUAUGUAUUCCAAAAUUAGACCUUUUUCUCGGACAAAAAGUUCGGAAACAAAAAAUCUAAUUGCAUCGCAAAUUUUAUCUAGACAUAAUAAAUUAAGUAUUUUGUUAUUAAUAUUUGUAAAUGUAUAAGUAAUGUAUAAGCACUGUACAAUAAUUUAUAACUGGUCAUUGCAUACUAUUAUACAAUGUUUAUACAUAUAUUAUACAUUUUUACUCUUAGUACACUUUUUUCCCAAGCCAUUGUAGCAUUAUCUUCCUUUUUAUUCUCCAGCUCUCAAAUUUUUAUACAUGAAGUAUAACAAGUAUAAGAAUUGUACAAUAAUGUUUAACAAGUCAUUGUACACUGUUAUACAGUGUUUAUACGUAUAUUAUACAUUUUUACCAUUAAUACACGUUUUUUUUGAAGUCACAGCAUUCUCUUCAACCCCAAUCUUUUAUACAUGAAGUAUAACAAGUAUAACAGUGGAUGCAUCUUUUAUACACUUUUAUAUGUUAUUAUACAAGUAUAUAUACCCUUGUUAUACUAUUAUAUAGCAUAUAUACAUGUAUAAUUUGCCUAUAAAUAAAGCAUCUACACUGUAUGAUAGUGUAUAACAUAUAUACAAUGUGGAUACAUUUGUUAUCAGAGGCGGAUUCAGGAUUUUGGGUUCGUGAGUGUUUUAUUUUUUUUUUAAAUUUAUGUGUAACUAUUGCCGAUCACAUAGUAUACGCGCAUAACUAUUUGAACAUGACGGUAAAAAAGUUAGUAAAAGAAUUUGAUGGACUUUGCCACUAUAAAAGAACGAUUCGUUUUUGAAAUGGUCGAACUUUGGAGUUUCUAUUUGCUAUAUAGAAUUAUUAGGUAAAAUAGAAAGAAAAGUAAAUAAAAGAGAAAGGUAAAACAAAAUUCAGAGAAAAUAUAGGCUAGAAAAAAGUAUAGUAGUAUCCGGUCAAAAAAGUGGCUAAUUGAUAAAAUAAAAUAGAAGACCUAAGAAGGAAGAAAAUAAAUGGGGAAACUAUAGUGUAUGCCUAUAAAAGACAAAUUAUUUACCUUAUUUUGCCCAUCUUUAAACUAUUUGUAACUUUUACAUACAUGGCCUAAAUUUAUUACACGCAUACCCAUUACCCUUUCCCCCGUUUCCCCCCUUUAUUCAAUAGUAAAGGGUCCGAUGUAAAUGCAAAGCUCUUCCUCUCUUUCAUUAUGCAAGCAUUUACCUGUAAAAAGGAAGUUUAGUGUACCUAUUUUAUUUUAUCUUUAUUUUUUAAAAUUGAAAGGAGUUUAUUUCUAUAAUAUGCAAAAUCACGACAUCUAUAGAUUAGUUAUGCAAAUAAUAUUUUAUGAUAAAUAUCAAUAACAACCUAAUAAAAUUAUAAUAAAUAUAAGUUAUAUAAAAAAUAAAUACUAUACUAAUAGUAUAAAAUAUUUUUAUAUUAUUGUUAAUGUAUAUAACUUAAAUCAAAAAAUAAAAAAUCUCUUAAACUUCAAUAACGAAUCAACUAUGAUUCCAGUAUUGCUAAUGCAUGAAAUGGUGAUGCCUUGCUAGCUGUAUCUUAUGUUAACUCUUUAAAAGCGGAAACUUAAUAAUUUAUUUUUAUAUACAUUUGCAAAACCCAGUUAACCUAUUUAUUUUUGAGCAAUUUAUACUAACUACCUACUCAAGUCAAAAUAAUUACCUGUUUAUACCCAUUUUAAAAAUAAUUGUAAUACAUACCUAUUCCACCAAAAUUAAUUACCCGUCCAUCUAUCUCUGCCUAAAAAAGGAGUUGUCAUCACGACCUUUUUAGUAGAACUUAUAUUCAACGAAAGUGAUUAAGCUGAAGGCAAAAUAACAUAUCUAAAUUUUAGUAUAAUCGAUAAUGCACAAAAUUGAGUUAAUUGUAUUAUAUGACAACUGAUAUUAUUUCAGUUUAAUAAUUGAAUUAAAAAAAUCUUUUUUAAACUCUUUGCGUACAAUUGUAUACCCUGUUAGUAUAACUACAUACUAUACUGGUAUCAUAUGUUAGUUGGAAUAUUUUUCGGUUGUAUUGGCUACAUUUAAUUGGUACACUAGUAGAAUAGUACAGUAUCUUGAAUUUUUUAAUUUUCUUUAUGCAUGUGUAUUAUGUAAUCAUUUUGAUUUUUUCUUUAUGCGUUUGUUUUAUAUAAUAGUAUUAUAGUACAAUAAUUUGAAAUACAUUAUUAUAUUAAUAUGUGGUACACUAUUUUUUGAUNNNNNNNNNNNNNNNNNNNNNNNNNCGUAUACCCUGUUGGUAUAAUUAUAUGUCAUAUUAGUAUCAUAUGGUUAGUUGAAAUAUUUUUUGGUUGUUUUACCUGCAUUUUUAAGUGAAUUCUAUUCUGAAAUUAUUUAUAUGAUCAUGUUUUGCUGCGUUGGAUUUUCUUGUACUUAUGGACAUAGAUUUUGUAUAUUAUGUAACAGUUUUUAUAGUUAUAAGCAGUUGUUAGAACAACCCCGUAUAACUAUAUACCCUAUUAGUAUAAUUAAAUGCUAUAUUGGUAUCAUAUGCUAGUUGAAUCAUUUUUUGGUUAUAUUAGUUGCAUUUAAUUGGUACAUUAUUUGAUUUUCUUUUAAUAAUAAGUAAUAUAGUACAGUAUUUUGAAAUACUUUAUUAUAAUAAUAUAUGGUACACUAUUUUUUUUAUUUUUUUCUUUAUGCAUGUGUGUUAUGUAAUAGCAGUAUAGUCAUAUAGUUGUCGGAAAUUAACAAAUAAAAUUGUAUACCAUGUUGGUAUAGUUAUAUGUCAUAUUGGUAUCAUAUGCUAGUUUGAACAUUUUUUGGUUGUUUUAGUUGCAUUUUUAAGUGAAUUCUAUUAUGAAAUUAUUUAUAUGAACACCAUUUGCAGUGUUGGAUUUUUUUGUCUCGAUGGACAUAAAUUAUGUGUAUUAUGUAAUAGUUUUUAUAGUUAUAAGUAAUUGUUGGAACGACCCCAUACAACUAUAAAACCUAUUAGUAUACAGAAUGAGCAAGUUGCUUUGCGAAUAUUUAGCUUGCAAUGCGAGUACGUAAUUUUCUCAUACUUUUAUUGCAUCCUUUAAUGUUUUGGUACAGUAGUAUAGUCGCAGAUAGUUAUAGCAAUAUUCUAGAGCAAUCAUAUACUAUGUUGGUAUACAUGUAUACAAUAUUGGUGUCAUAUGGUACUACAAGUCUUUUUUGCUACUUAUACUUUUAUUGCAUUUUCCAAUAUUUAUUAUCAUUUCUAUUCUAACUAGUAUAUAUAGAGAUUUGGUAGGCGUAGAUUAUAUUUUCUUGCUCCAUAACUGAUUGUGUUACUGCUAAUGGUAGAGUGUGUACUGAUAUUUGCAGGGAAGGAGAUCAAGGUUUGCAUGACAAUCACGAGUUGAUUCUUAGAAUCUGAUUAUGUAAUUUAUGGUGCUCAACAACAGUUAGUGUGAUAUUCAGUGAAUUAGAUCAAGUGACGAUUAAUAUUAUUUUAGUUUAAUAAUUGAAUUAAAAAAAUAAGAAAAAGUCAAAAGGUAUAUUAUACUAGUUACAUUAAAAAAAAGAUGAACAAAUAUUUACUAUAUCAAUUAUUUUUUCUUAUUGUAUAAAAAUAAGAAUAAUAAAAAAUAGUGAAAACAGUAAAUGAAAUUAGAUUAUGAAGAGAAAAAAUAAUAUAAAAAAGAAGUUAAAUGAAAUUAGAAAAGGAACAAGAAAUAAAGAAAAUAAAAAAGGAGUUAAAUGGAAUUAGAAAAAGGAACAAGAAACAAAGAAAAAUAAAUAAAUAAAUAAAAAAAGGAGUCAAAAUUGAGUGUGAAAUAAGUUAUGAUAAAAAUAACAAUAAUACGAUUUGGGCAAAUAUAAAUGAAUAGAAAAAGAGAAAAAAAAGAAAAAAAAAAGAAGAAAACGAGAAAAAAGAAAAGUAGAAAAGAAAGGAAAAAAGGAAAAACGAAAAGAAGCAUAGAAAUAAAAAAGAAUUGGAUAAAAAAGAGAAAAUUCCCCACAAAAACUACUAUGGGUAGGAAAUAUAAUUAAUUUGAUGGGUAAAAAAAUAAAUGGAUAGAUAAUGGUAAAUGAUUUUAUUUUUGUGGGUAACUGUGUCAUUCACCACAUUUAAUAUCCUUCUUUGACCAAAGCACCUACCAGGCUUUUUGUUUCAUGGGUAUUUCCUGUUUCGUCAUAUAAAUUGUAGAAAUUUUCUAUAUAACUAUACAUACCUCAUGUUAAGGUUAAUGGGUGAUGAAUCACCCAAAUCUUGUAUGUAAAUCCGCCACGACUUGUUAUAUACACUUACCUUACAAAGUUGCUUCCACCCACCAUUAAACCUCAAUCUCAAAAUCAUAAUCAUAAUUUUCUUAUUAACAAAAAGAAUUAUUAGCAUCAACAAGCACCAUUUUUGUAAAAAAUCACUAAAGUGAACACAAAAAUGUUGUCCGAAAAUCAGCACUUCUCAGUUAAAUAUAUUUAAAUAAAUUAGUUAUUUUGUUUCAUUGUGGAGCAGAUAAUGAAAAUUAUAGAGCAUAGAAUGCAAGCUUAUGAGGAAACAGUAGGGUUGAACUAAUCUGAGAUAGAAAUAAUAAAAUUAAGCUACAUUUUGCAAAUUUUGAAGACAAAAUGGAGGAGGAAAUAACAGAGGGCUUUUGUUUAAUAACUUAAGGCAAAUAAGGCCGGCGGACAAAGCAAAAGCUAAGGAGAAGAUGAGAAAGAUUAAGCAACUCAAUGUUUUAAAUCAAGUUUGAUAUCUGUAAUUUUUUGAUAUAAGUGAAUUAUAUUAUAGAUAAAAAUUUAAAUCAAGUUUGAUAUCUGUAAUUUUUUGAUAUAAGUGAAUUAUAUUAUAGAUAAAAAGAGAGAGACAGGUGGAGAGAGAAUUAGAUGUAUCGAGCAUGGAGAAAGGACAGAAAAGAAAAUACUUUACAAGUGUGUCUUUAGUGUCGGAGUAACAUAUAGAAACUGGGCCAAAUCGAUAAGAAGCUAAAAUAUGAGUCCAAUUUGAUUGAAAUAUUGCGCAGCUAAUAAUGAAGGUUAUCUUUUUUAUUAUUAUUACAGGAAGAGGAAGGGAAAAGGGAACAAAACAUUAUAAUAUAUGGAAUCCGACUCCUUAGCACAUAGUAAAAGAUGAAAGACUACAUUACGAGCCACCUCCCGACGAUAUUUUCUAUUUAUUGAAAAAAUAACGGUAAUUUAAGACUUUUAUUUAAAAAUUAGUUAGAGCUUAUAAAGUUUAACCACUUUAAAAUUAAUCUCAAAUUCACGAAAUUGAAUAAAGUUAAUAAUAUUUAUCAGGCGCUGACUUAUUGAGUAUGAAGUUAAGCUUGAAGAGUCUUAUAACCUGUUUGGUUUUUUUUUUUAAAAUUAAAGUGUUUGGCCAAGUUUUUAGUAGAAAAAAUACUUUUGAGUAAAAAUAAAAAUAUUUUUGUGAAUUUUUUUAAAAUAACUUAUUUUCAAAAAUAUUUUUUUGAAAAGUACUAUUGAAAAAAAUACUUAGAAGUACUUUUUAAAAGUCUGGUCAAAUAGUAAUUGAUACUUAAAAAUAUUUUAAAAUUGAUUAGCCAAAAGUAUAUUUUAAGAAAAUUCCGGUAAUUUAAAAGCACGGCCAAACAGACUACUUUUGGUAUGGGCGGGAGGUUUAGGCGGGGGCCCAUAGACCGGAAAAGAUCAGGUGAGCACAUCGAAGAAACCCUAGUAAUAUCCCAAUAUCGCCAAACCAAGUGCUUCGUGGAGGGAGAAACGUAAAUUCCAGUCAAAAGAAAAAUCUCCCUCUCCGUAGUCCGUCCCAUCGGCCAAAUGCUAAAAAAACAUUGGUCCCAUUCCCAGUCUCAACAAACACGUUUUAUCCUUUUCGACGAUCUAUCCUCUUUUGUCUUGUUUUUCUCCGAAUGAGAUACACAUGCUUGAAUUCAGGAAUAGUAUUCCAAAUGCGGCGAAAGUCACAGCUCGAACAAUCACUACCUACUAAUAUUUUAGCGUUUCCCUUUUGGAGUUGACAGAAAUAUGGCUGCGGAAUCCCAAUCGCAGAAGAAGAGUUACUGUAUCGUCGGAGAUGUAUAUCGUGGUGUCAUGAUUGUACCCAAGGAGUUGGACCUUUCUCCUACCAAGGAUCUCAUGCACCAUCAAAUUAACCUUCAACUCAAGUUCCCUGACGUGGGUCGAGCCUUUACCGUAAGUUCAUUUUCAUUCUGAUUGGACCAUUCAGGCCUCUAAUGUUACUUUACAUUUCGUCCGUGAACCUUGGCUUAACAAUGUAGUUGGCGGAAAUGCAUUCAUUUCUGCAGAAUUUUACCAGGACUAGAGAAGUCGGUGAAUUUCUCAGUGGUGCUUUGGCUGGGGCGAUGACCAAGGCCGUUCUAGCUCCUCUUGAAACCAUCAGGUUGUAAGAUUUACCAUGAAGUUUAAAACUGAUAGUUACUAAUUGAUUUCCAUUUCUGAGGAGUUAUAUCUAUUCCAUCAUCUGGAUUAUGUAAUUUCCAUAGUGAAUUUUGGUAAGAUAACUUAAUUAAGAUAUAAAAGCUCCUCGUAUAGGAUAUGAACUUUUGACUUGGAUGAAUUUUUAUUUCCUUUCAGCUGGCUCUUACAAUUCAGUAGGUUAUGUUACCUCAUUUUGUUAUUUAAAACAUGCAGGACAAGAAUGGUAGUCGGUGUUGGGUCCAAAAACAUUGGUACAAGUUUUAUUCAGGUUAUUGAGCAGCAGGGUUGGAAAGGGCUGUGGGCUGGUAACACAAUCAACAUGUUACGGAUAAUUCCUACACAGGCAAUUGAACUUGCUACAUUUGAGUGUGUCAAGCGAGCAAUGAAUUCGGCACAAGAGAAAUGGAUCAAUACUGGCAACCCCAAGCUACAGAUUGGUAAUGCUAGCAUGAGCUUUUCUCUCUCAUGGCUGUCGCCAGUUGCUGUUGCUGGUGCUGCUGCUGGAGUUGCAGGCACACUUGCAUGUCAUCCGCUUGAAGUGCUGAAGGUAUUGACUAGAGAUCUUUUCAGUGGGGAAAAUAGCUUUGCUUUUCAGAGUGUUAAUGAUGAUCUUCAUAGUUGUAUCAUUAAGUUAUUGUGCUUGUUAUGACUUAUGAGCUUGUGGAAAGAAAAAACGAUCUGACAUUUUGGUGCUGAUCUUCACAGGAUCGGCUGACUGUGAAUCCUGAGGUCUACCCCAGUCUAUGCAUUGCAGUUCACAAGAUUUACAAGGAGGGUGGAAUUGGAGGCUUGUAUGCUGGACUUGGGCCAACAAUAAUUGGCAUGCUCCCAUAUAGCACUUGUUACUAUUUCAUGUACGAGACAAUGAAGAAAUCAUAUUGCCAAGCACAGAAGAAAAAAUCUCUAAGCCGUGCAGAGAUGCUUCUUAUUGGAGCUUUCUCGGGUAAGAAUCUCGAAUCAAACACAGUAGCUCUCUUUGGUUCAGAUUUGCUUGAACUUAAUAGUGAUCUGCCAUUUUGUGAUAAAAAAGGGCUGAGCUGAAACUUCUAAUUGUCAACUCUAGGGACAUUUAGAUCAUUGCUUAAAAAACACCUUUACUCCUAGCCUAAGUCCUUGUUUCCCCGAAGAUUUGUGUAUCAUGAUCAACUUAAAAUCUGGAAGUGCUGACUUGGAAAUUACAGGUGGCUGUUGAACUGUUCCAGUAGCAGUUCAAGAUUGUAGUAGAGUUGGUCCAUUGGACUUGCGAAAGUUUACGACUCAAAACCAGAUAAUCAUAAUGGGAAAUGUUAACAAAUUGUCCUAAAAAAAAUUAAUUUGCUGAUGCAGCAAAUUCCUGCUAUCUAAGGUCCAUAAAGUAUGCAGGUGCUGUGAUGCUUGAAUUGAUAAUUCUCUAUCACAAUUACUGGAUUUUGCGUUUAAGGCCCUUCUUAUGUAUCACGCUGGUCAAAAGAACAACACCAGAACAAAGAUGUAAUGUUUUUGUAGUAUACUGGAAGAAAAAGGGGAAAGACUGAAACAAGCCUGUGAUGCUUUUCUCCUUCGGUGCACGAGAUCAAAAGAGCAAUACCAGGACAAAAAAGUAACAUUGCUGCAGAGAGGAUAAAGGACAUUCAUUGUACAGAUUCUGACCAAAGGAGGAGCAUCAUACAUUUAAGUAUUUUUUUGAUAAAUCAUUCUGCUGGGGAGUGUCUAUAAGAUUAUAAUAGAGGCGCUAGCGAGGUGACUAAGAAGGGAUAUGGUUUAUCUUACACGUGAAAUGCUUUUGCUGGUAGAAGACAAAUAUUAGACGCAAGUGUAAUUGCAAAGGAGAAAGGACAUUUGUUAUACAGAUUCCGAACGAAGGCGGAGCAUCGUACAUUUAAGUAUUAUUUUAACCAAUCAUUCUGGUGGUGAUUGUCUAUAAGAUUAGCAAGGACACUAAGAAGGAUUAUGGUUGAACUUACGUGCAAAAUGGUUUUGCUGUUGUAAGACAAAUAUUAGACGCAAGUGUAAUUAUGAAUGAGCAAUUGGUUGUGGUGUUGCUGAGCAAUUGAUUUAAGUGUGAUUGCCAUAAUGUUGCUGAAGGGGGGAACCCCUCUGAUGAUGAGAUGGUCCAGCGAGUAGGGAUAUAACGGGAUCUUUACGAAAUAUCCAGAAAUAUUUUGGUGUAACAAAUCUAUGUGCAUUUGGCUAAACCAAAGGAAUAAAACAUGAAGUUCUUUCCUAAAACAGCAAAUGCACACCAUUGAUAUAAUCACAUCGAUAGUGGUCAACACAAAACAAGAUAAGUAAAUUAGAAAAUUCCUAUAGGAUGGAGCCGAUAGAGAUAAAGAUUGUGAUCUUGUUAUUGGAGCGUGGUUUCUAUUUGGAUGGAGGAAAAUGAUAUCAGUUCUGAUAGAUCCCGUAUAUUAAAUAAGCAGACAUAAUAAAUCUUUGAUAUAUUUGAUUUCCUAAAAUAAAGUUAAAAUUUUGGACUUCACGAGGCAAGUCAAAGGACUUCAUCAUUAUUGACCUCAAGCUUUUAUAUGUUAGUAUAUGAUAUUUUAUUCUUUGGGCCACGGGUAGAACACCUGGUAAAGAGACCCAAUCUUGAGUGAAAUAAAUACCGCAACUUCGAUCUUGUUCAAAAAAAAAAAGUAAAAAAUAAAAAUUGGGUUGCGCUAUAGUUAGCUCAGCACCAAUCAAGAAUCCCCAAGGAAUUCCAAGAAUUCUUGUUAUACAUUUGUUCCAAAUCCUAUAGAAUCCUAUACCAAUUUUUCUUUUGCUAGGCCCAUAACUAAAAAGCCCACUUUCUUACGAUUACGAGGUUUAUUCGAAUAUGAAAUCCAAUAAAGUAUUGCCCACUUUUAAAGCUCCUUGGACUGCAAAUAGGGAUGUGAUUUUAUUUGGGAAUAUCUGCUGUUCAUUAUGGUAUGCCUUUUUAACCUUGAUGAGACUCUAUCUGCUUUUAUGCUAUCUUACUGUAGCCAGUUGUAAGAUUACCAUGCAUUUCUUAAAGAGUUAAUGUUAUGGUUGAUCAGGUUUAACAGCUAGCACUAUCAGUUACCCAUUGGAGGUGGCAAGAAAGCGGCUAAUGGUGGGUGCUUUGCAUGGUAAAUGUCCACCUCACAUGGUGGCAGCACUUUCAGAAGUCAUUAGGGAUGAGGGUUUGUUAGGCCUUUAUAGAGGCUGGGGUGCGAGUUGCCUAAAAGUAAUGCCAUCAUCAGGCAUUACUUGGAUGUUCUAUGAAGCUUGGAAAGACAUAUUGCUUGCUGAUAGACGUCAUGUGUUACAGUAGACAUAGUAGCACAAGAAAUGAAAUCGUAUUUCCACCCUCCCAUGUGUACAAUGAUUUGACUACUGUAACGUACUCAAGCUGGAAGCUGGCGAUGGUAGGAUGGGUCAACCGUGGUGUCUGUCAUCAUGAGAUUCAUUAUAGCUGUGCAUCCAGAAUUUUUGUUUGCCAUCUUCCCCACUCUUCCGUGUGCACUAAGAAAUUUCUUUAACAUUUCUGUAAACGACAGAACAUGCAUUUAUGAUUACUGCAAGAAUUACAGGCUUUUGCCUUUGUAAUUUCUUCGAGUACUUGUUUCUCAAGGGUCAGUGUUGUGGUACUACUUGGUUUGACCAGAUAAACACUCUUAAGCAUAUCAUGGCAAGGGCAGUCAAGUUUGGAGAAGCAAAUGGGCCAAAGUUUGUUUUAUUCUCCUACAUGUUGAUAAUGGGGACAACGGGGGCUUCUGAUUUUGGUGUACUUGGUUGAUGCUCUGCAGUGUUCAUGUUUUUCUAUUUUUCUUUAUGUUCAUUUGGUUGAUGCUCUAUACGGCACGCAUAAGUUGUGUAAUGGUGCAGAGUACUUUACUUGGUAGAAACUUGUUGAUAAAUUAAUGAGACGGGAAUAUCACAUUACGAUGAUUUUCUUCUUGAAAGGAAUUCUUAAGGAGUGAGUGUAUACUUUCCAUUUUUGACCGUCUCACCAAAAUGCUAGCUUUCUUACAAAGGAGCAUUUAAAAAUAUAUAAUACGCCUAAUGAUUUUAUUGGACAUUAGGCUAGCCUUCUUUUAUACAAAUCUGUUUUAAGUUGCAAAGUUUAAAGAGUUUACAAAGGAUCUCACCAGCCUUCUCAACUAUAAGUAAUCUUUCUCAUUCUUUAAUCAUUUGAAAAAUUAAACUAAAACAUUUAAUUUGAAAUAGAAGAGCCAUGGAAGAUCAUGUCAAAUAUAUAAUGGGUCAUGCUGAGAUGGUGACCCAAGUUAACUGGUUGCUCCGUUUCCAGCUCUCAUAUAUGCAUAUUUAACUGAGCGAUUUAUAAAAUGCGUAAGAUUGUUGUUUUUGAUUGGCAACAAUGCCCUGAAUUGCUUUUGAGCAUAUUUUGUAGAAAGCCACGUCCAAAGCAAGCAAAUCUUGUCAACUAAAUUUGGCGUGCACAAAAUAUUUCUCCCAGAAUACAUGCUUGAUUAUUCAAGAUAUCUACAUUCUUGGAUACAGUUGGCAAAUAAAACAACACACUAUCUUCGUGCCUGGACAAUCAAUGAGCUUAAGCAGUAAGCACAGGUGACCCCUACUAAAGGCCAGACAGGCACUCUCAUACUGCUGCUUACUGGACAAUCAACAGUCAAGCUGCUGGAAACAAUUCUACCAUCCACCAAACGAGUAUAAAACUGACAAUUUUGUUCAACAAUCUAGGGUUCACAUGUUCCAAUAUCUGCAUGACAAAUGGUAGAAUGUGCAAACAUGUAUUCAUAGGUCAAAACACUAAAAUUCUUCAAAACAUGUCAUAGAUAAUCAAACACAACAGCUGCAUCAAAUAAUAACAACUUGCAGCUGUGCAAAAUAAAGCAGAGCACUUAAACUCUACACACCUUCAUCAGACAGCUGCUCAGAGAGCUGUUCAAAUCGAGCCACUAUGUGUUUUCCGUAGGUGUAUUUCUUCAAAGCAUGAAGAUGAACUCUGAUUCGACUGAGCAGAAUUUCACGGUGCUUAUCGUUGCUAAUCUCGAGAAUCUUCUGGACCACAUAAUUCGCAAAUUGGUCCUUCAUCAUCGACUACAACAAGAGCCAAAAUUGCCCAGUGAAUAUGUCAAUUUACGCAAGAAAUCAUUUGUCAUUAUUUUGAAAAUAUAAACACUUUACAUUCACCAUAUAGAAAAGUGAGAAAAAGGAUAAUAGUGCCACACAAAAUGCUAAACAUACCGUUGAGACCACUUCCUACCCAAAUUAGUCUAAAGGUCAAUAAAUCCAUUACUAUCUCGGUCUUGGAGGACCAACCCAAGUGACAAGGGUGAGACCCCUAGAGUCUAAAGCUUCCGUCUUCCUGGAAGUACAAUUAGUUGUGCAGUUCAUGAUCUCUUCCAAGCUACUUUCAGUUGGCAAUUAGCUUCACUACUUUUAAACCACCUCUUUCCAUGGUGGGUAGAUUGUACUACAAACAAGCAGAGCAAGAGAAACCCAUAGAUGAUGAGAUGGUGGACAAGCUAAGAGCUGUGACCAUGAAAUGCAUCCCACAACAUCACGACAGGUGGCCAUGGCUAGUUUAGCACCGUUUCAUAGCUGGACCAUUAAGAUAACCAAAACUCGUAUGCUUUCCUUUUGAAAACAAAAAAAUGUACAAACUUGCAACAAUUGAUGUAUAGGAUCCUCAACAUAUUGAGAAAAGGUCUUUUCCCUUCUCAACUAACAAUUUAUUCGAGUUAUCCUGUUUCCAUUCAUUCCCUCUUCUUCUUUGGCUUUCUUCUUAAUUUGGCUAUUAUACUUCUUCUUCCCCUUCUUAAUCUAUGACUUUUAAAGGCUAUUGAAGUGACUAAUUCCUGGAAAUUAGGAGGCGUUAAAAACAAAGAAAUUGUUGGAGUUUCUAUGGAUAUAAGGCUUUAAUUGAUAGAGAUAGAGGAAGCACCGUAAAGAUCAAUUAGCAAGGUUUUGGGCCGAUACAAUAAUAACUGCGUACUUAUGUCAUGAUGGAAGAAAUACUUAUCUCAUGAUGUGAGAUAAAAAUUAGGAAUUAACUUAUGUAAUAGAGUCGAUCCACUAAAGUCUUGAGCGGUGUAGGAUC
rnacentral:lncRNA from 1 species